ACGCCCCAAGACUGAAGUUCAGGUGGAAGCUGCCCCAAGGGCUUCUUUGGAUAUUCAUCCUCUUUACCUGAAAAGAAAGAGAAAGGCUAAACUCAUCAUUUCAAUCUGGGAUCUCCCUGGAAUUUUACAUUAAUUAUACCUCCCCAUGUGACGCCAUCCACAAAUCUGAACACCACGCUACCAAUGCUUUCAUCCAAGUGACUGGUAACAAGUACUGAACUGAGUAAGAACAAAAAUGGAGCACCCUAACUUCUCUAAAAGG